ACGGGAGGCAGCAGUGGGGAAUAUUGCACAAUGGGGGAAACCCUGAUGCAGCGACGCCGCGUGGAGGAAGAAGGUCUUCGGAUUGUAAACUCCUGUUGUUGGGGAAGAUAAUGACGGUACCCAACAAGGAAGUGACGGCUAACUACGUGCCAGCAGCCGCGGUAAAACGUAGGUCACGAGCGUUGUCCGGAAUUACUGGGUGUAAAGGGAGCGCAGGCGGGAAGACAAGUUGGAAGUGAAAUCUAUGGGCUCAACCCAUAAACUGCUUUCAAAACUGUUUUUCUUGAGUAGUGCAGAGGUAGGCGGAAUUCCCGGUGUAGCGGUGGAAUGCGUAGAUAUCGGGAGGAACACCAGUGGCGAAGGCGGCCUACUGGGCACCAACUGACGCUGAGGCUCGAAAGUGUGGGUAGCAAACAGGAUUAGAUACCCUGGUAGUCCACACCGUAAACGAUGAUUACUAGGUGUUGGAGGAUUGACCCCUUCAGUGCC
rnacentral:rRNA from 1 species